UCCAGACUCCUACGGGAGGCAGCAGUGGGGAAUAUUGCACAAUGGGGGAAACCCUGAUGCAGCGACGCCGCGUGAGUGAAGAAGUAUUUCGGUAUGUAAAGCUCUAUCAGCAGGGAAGAUAAUGACGGUACCUGACUAAGAAGCCCCGGCUAACUACGUGCCAGCAGCCGCGGUAAUACGUAGGGGGCAAGCGUUAUCCGGAUUUACUGGGUGUAAAGGGUGCGCAGGUGGCAGGGCAAGUCAGAUGUGAAAGCCCGGGGCUCAACCCCGGUAUUGCAUUUGAAACUGUCCGGCUAGAGUGCAGGAGAGGUAAGCGGAAUUCCUAGUGUAGCGGUGAAAUGCGUAGAUAUUAGGAGGAACACCAGUGGCGAAGGCGGCUUACUGGACUGUAACUGACACUGAGGCACGAAAGCGUGGGGAGCAAACAGGAUUAGAUACCCUGGUACU
rnacentral:rRNA from 1 species